UGGGGAAUCAUGGUCAAUGGGCGAAAGCCUGAACCUGCGACGCCGCGUGAGUGAUGAAGGUCGUAAGAUCGUAAAACUCUUUUCAGGGAUCUUAAAGCACAACCGUCAACAACGGCUGUGUGUGACUCUCCCUGGAAGAAGCCCCAGCCAACUACGUGCCAGCAGCUGCGGUAAUACGUAGGGGGCGAGCGUUAUUCGGAAUUACUGGGUGUAAAGGGUAUGUAGGCGGCCCUUCAAGUCGCGUGUCAAAGUCCAGUGCUCAACGCUGGGUGGUCGCGCGAUACUGACGGGCU
rnacentral:rRNA from 1 species